UUUGACUCUGACCGUGGAGAGUUCAGCAGCCUGCAGCUUCCCUUCAGUCACUUCAGCUGCUUCAGAGGAACGUCAUGACCGAUCCGGAGACCGCCUGCAGCUCAGGCUCCUUCAUCCCUAACAACAGUGAACUGAGGAUGAUGAUGGUGUGAGAGCAAUGGAGGAGCAGAGGAGAGCAAUGGAGGAGGAGCAGAGGAGAGUGGAGGAGCAGAGGAGAGCAAUGGAGGAGGAGCAGAGGAGAAGAGAGAGGGAGGAGGCGGAGAACAGGCGUGCCAGAGAGGAAUUCAAUCGCAUCGAUGAAAACAGGGCGUUAGAAGCCAAACGAGAGCAGGAGCUAAGGGAGCACCAGGAGCACCAGGAGCACCAGGAGCGGCUGGACCGUCAGGCCUGGCGGCGGCAGCAAGCACCUCAGGGCGGCUGCUCCAUUCUCUGAUGAGGAGCAGGCGCCAACAGAGGUCCAACGCCAGCGAUGGGCGGGGUUAAAGGUCAUUUUUAGAGUCAGGAGUUCAUUGUUGUCAAAGAUAAAACUGUUAAGAACAAUAAACAAAUAAAAACAAAACGCUGUUUAUGAUAAUCAUAAACAUUGUUUUAGGGUGAUAUUUCUCAUGCAGGAGUAUGAGGGGCUUGAUGCACAUGAAAGCUGCUUUAAAACCAAAUGAAUGAACCUGAAGAUGUGAGGAUUCUGUGGUUUUCUUCUUGGUUUUCUUCUUGUCAGUCGCUCCACCUUCAGGUUCCUGAUCCACAGCCGUCUGUCUUCAGUUCAGUUCAUGGCCUUCAGCCUAUUUAAGUGUCUUGGUUUCUGUUCAUCCUCAUCAGGUCAUCUGCUCUGUUUGGUCACCGGUUUGUUUCUCCACAUAGUUCUGUCAUGUUUUAGUUUGUUUAUUAAAUGUUUUAUUUCCUGUCACCAAGCCUGGUCUCCUGAAUUUUGGGUCCUCCAGAACCAGUUCCUGACAGAACAUCGUUGAUGUAGAUCUGCAUUUCUGUGGCUUUGGCUGCAGAUUCUGAGCAAACAAACAAAUAAAUAAAUAAACAAAAA